UCUGCAGUCUUUUCAAAGUUUGCAGAAGCCAAGUGACAAGGACAGCUCUCCUGCCAGUCUGGUAAACUAGAUACUAAGUACUCUGGUGAAAGACGUCUGUGUACUCGGGAUGUGCUCGAGUUAGAGGACCAGAAGAACCUGGCCAUGGCCGGAGCACAAACGAGUUACUUCCAAAUAUUCUGCUCGCGUUCCGUAGUCGUUGUAUUUGUUGGAAUGUUUUUAUUUCUGGAGAAAAAAAGCAGGUUGACAGUUGACCCAACAAGACCGACAGUCGGUAUUUUCCACUGCCGUCCAUAAGAAUAGUUGGAGACAGGAGUGAAAAGGCUUUCCCGUCACUAGUUUGGCAGCGUAUCUCGCUCUCUGGUAUGGCAUUCGAUACACUGCACGAAGACAGCGGCGGUCAACCUGACGAGUCUCCUGUCGGCAACGACUCGAAGUGCGUCAAGACUUUUCGCCACCUACCAUUGAAACAUGCCUGCCUCCCUGAGCACUUCUUUGGUGGUUUCGGCCAAACUUCAUGGAGCGCCCCAGGCGAGUGACUAUGUCCCUAUUCUAUUCGCCGGUGGCCUAGCCGGAUCUGAACUUUGGAGCGCGUAUCUCUCAAGGCGAAAGAUCAGAAUGACCCGAAUGCAGAUUCCUGCACGGCUGGCUGCUGCUGAAGGAAUACGGCGUACCCUGUUGCCUCCGUGCAUACUUGACCGCCGACUACAGAUGCUUGACUGGCAGACUGGCUGCUGCUGAGGGAAUACGAUGUACUCUGUUGCCUCCCGUCGUACUUGACAGCAGG